CUCCUGCCCCACCCUCUCGUUCCCCAAUUUUCACGUCUUUCCCAUCGUCUUCGUCUUUCUGCCUAACUCUAGCUGCCGAGUAACCCUGCGCUGAUUAUCAUUGCGCAGGAACCCUUGGACUUUCGGCGAAACUGUCUCUCACACUUUUUGUCGCUACUCAUGUCCUCAUUCGCACUUCCGAUACCUCCACGGCCCCUCACAGGUACCGCUUCGCAGGCUUACGGAACGCUCCGCUACCGCUUACUCGUAUACGAGUAAGCGGUAGCGGAGCGUUCCGUAAGCCUGCGAAGCGGUACCUGUGAGGGGCCGUGGAGGUAUCGGAAGUGCGAAUGAGGACAUGAGUAGCGACAAAAAGUGUGAGAGACAGUUUCGCCGAAAGUCCAAGGGUUCCUGCGCAAUGAUAAUCAGCGCAGGGUUACUCGGCAGCUAGAGUUAGGCAGAAAGACGAAGACGAUGGGAAAGACGUGAAAAUUGGGGAACGAGAGGGUGGGGCAGGAG
rfam:Devosia limi DSM 17137 NODE_2, whole genome shotgun sequence.